rnacentral:rRNA from 1 species
GAUGAACGCUGGCGGCGUGCCUAAUACAUGCAAGUCGAGCGAAUGGAUUAAGAGCUUGCUCUUAUGAAGUUAGCGGCGGACGGGUGAGUAACACGUGGGUAACCUGCCCAUAAGACUGGGAUAACUCCGGGAAACCGGGGCUAAUACCGGAUAACAUUUUGAACCGCAUGGUUCGUAAUUGAAAGGCGGCUUCGGCUGUCACUUAUGGAUGGACCCGGGACGCAUUCGCUAGUCGGUGAGGUACCGGCUCACCAAGGCAACGAUGCGUAGCCGACCUGAGAGGGUGAUCGGCCACACUGGGACUGAGACACGGCCCAGACUCCUACGGGAGGCAGCAGUAGGGAAUCUUCCGCAAUGGACGAAAGUCUGACGGAGCAACGCCGCGUGAGUGAUGAAGGCUUUCGGGUCGUAAAACUCUGUUGUUAGGGAAGAACAAGUGCUAGUUGAAUAAGCUGACACCUUGACGGUACCUAACCAGAAAGCCACGGCUAACUACGUGCCAGCAGCCGCCGUAA